AGGGAAAAAUACUUAAGACUUCUAAUCUUAAUUAGAGUAAUUAAAUUUAUUCUUUCUCUU
rnacentral:tRNA from 1 species